rnacentral:rRNA from 1 species
GACGAACCGAGCGAACGUUGUUCGGAAUCACUGGGCUUAAAGGGCGCGUAGGCGGGUGCUCAAGUCUGUGGUGAAAUCCUCCGGCUCAACCGGAGAACGGCCAUGGAUACUGGGUGUCUCGAGGGUGAUAGGGGUAUGCGGAACUAUCGGUGGAGCGGUGAAAUGCGUUGAUAUCGAUAGGAACUCCGGUGGCGAAGGCGGCAUACUGGAUCACUUCUGACGCUGAGGCGCGAAAGCCAGGGAGCGAACGGG